AUUCGCCUAAGUAUUCUCUACCGAUCGUGAGUACUUUGGGUGUCGUAAUUCUCUUCCGAGUAACUACCACAAUUUACUAGACAAAUUCUUCUGAAUUAAGCUAGCUGGCUCUAAUUCACCGCUUACUAGGAUCGCACCAAGGUUUUUUAUUCAUAAUCUCACCUUUACACCUUCCGCAUUGAUUCCUCACAUACGUUAGGAGUGAUGUUGUUCUACAAUUACUUAAAUAUGUACCCUUUUCUAAGAAAUACACACUAAAUAGGCACAGUCGAUUGAGAGCUCUUCAAUCAACCACAAUGUAAACGUAGUUGAACAAGUAGAGACAAAUCAAAGGCAAAUCUAUAUUAAACGUAGUAGAAAAUCAUCCUCCAAUAGGUUCCAUCAAACCCUAGAUUAGAAACUUUAGCUACUCAUAAAUGUAUCAACAAUCAUCAUGAUGUUCAAAGACAUUAAACUACAAAGUACAGAGAUAAACGGAGGGAAUUGUCGUUUGAUUCUUGCUCCACCGUGAUCUGUAGCCUUUUUCUUCUCCAAAAUAGUGUCCUUUUUGGUCGAAUCUGCUCUAAAAACGUCAUCUCCUUUGGCCAGACAUGUUUAGGGAGUAUUUAUAGACUAGGGUUGAAGUCCUUAAGUCCAAAUCCGGGUCGGAGUCUUUUAACCUGCGACUUUUAAUUACCGAGCUAUAGACCUCGUGAGGCCAGACUUAUAGCGCAGUCAACCUGGCAAUAGACCUCGCGAAGCCUGGUCUAUAGCACGGUCAAGAUGGCUAUAGACCUCACGAAUCCUGGUCUGUAGCACGGUCAAGCUGGCUUUACUUGGCCUGUAGCACGGUUUGGGUACUUGAUGCUUUUGCGCUCUUUUCUUGCAUUUUUUGUCCUUUUUUUUGUGCAAUUUUCAUUCGACUAUUUUUUUCGAUAUUCCUACACAUAAAACAAAAAAAUUUAGCUCAAAUAUCGCACAGUUAAUCACUAAACCAACAAAAUAUAAGGCGAAUAAUGUAGUAAAAGUAUAACAUUUUGGCCUAACAUCAAUGGCAAAGAUCAUCAUCUAUAGCGAAUACCUAUAAGGUAAGCACAUGAUUUUAGACCAGUAAUUAUUUCAUCAACAAAACAAGAUCACGGUAGAGUCAUGAGAGGUAGUCAUGCAAAGUCAACAAAUUCAUGAACAUUUUCAUAUUAUAUUUAUACUGGCAAUGUAGAAAGCAUUUCACUCACAAGAAUAUCAGCAAACCAAACAAAAUAACUACACAUAGGAGAUUAUAAACUGGAUUCAACUAUUAAAAUGAACUGUAAGGAAGUGUACUGACCUUCCUUAGGGCAGCAAACCGAGUAAUUGACCUUAGUUGUAGGAAUCAAUGCUCAACAGUCUACUUUAAGACGAUUAAGCUCAACCAGAAAUGAAAAGAAAGGAAAACAAAAUUGUAAGCGAUAGGCAGAGAGAUUUAUACUUUAGUAUAUUUUCAUUUAUUACUAGUUCUCCGAUGUUAGGUGCGGCAAUUGAAGUCGGUAUUUAUAGCCAAGGAUUGCCUUUAGGUUUUGAGGUUUGAAGAUUCAAAAAUUGAUAGAAAACAAAUAACCAUAAUGAGUGUUGAUAAAAGAAUCACAUGACAGAAUUGAUGCAUGAUGAAAUCAGAGGGGCGAAAGAAAAGAGUGACAAUUUUACCCUUAGAAGUGACGAAAUAAGUUAGCCGUUGAGGCUGGUGACCUUUGGAUAAAGCUCUUACCCAGAGGUCCUUCGUUUGACCUAUGGGUCGUCAUACAUCACGAUGAGGUCGGAGAUCCUCAUGAAUCUGAAAUGCUUGCCAUAUAUUAUUGGCGAUUUUGAAUAGCAAAAGGUGUGAUGAUGAGAUUUGGAACCUUUCACAUUUUAGGCUAGGGUUUCAAAAUUGGGGGUUUGAAAAGGGAUGAUGAAAAUGGGAAUUUCGGCUACAUUGGCGGUUGGAGGGUAAUGAUAUUGGUCUUCUAGUUGUCUUUCAGUGACUUUGCACUAAUUUGUGCGAGGUUCAGGUAUGGCAUACGAGAGAGGACGCUAAGAGCGAGGGAGGAAAGGGGAAAUGGGGCAGCUGGUGAGUAGGAAAUUGAUUUAGGGUUUAAUGGGUCUGGUAUGUUUAAAAUAAGGGAAUGGAUGAUGGCCG
rnacentral:lncRNA from 1 species